rnacentral:rRNA from 1 species
AUGGUUGAGUAUCUCGCCUCUCAGUUCUGCCUGUAUUCUACCCUUGUUUGUCAUAUACUAUUAUUUCCUCGGCAGGCUUGCUUGCCGAGUGAAACCAUUUAUAACCUUUUUAAUUUUCAAUCAGCGUCUGAAAAAAUUAAUAAUUACAACUUUCAACAACGGAUCUCUUGGUUCUGGCAUCGAUGAAGAACGCAGCGAAAUGCGAUAAGUAGUGUGAAUUGCAGAAUUCAGUGAAUCAUCGAAUCUUUGAACGCACAUUGCGCCCCUUGGUAUUCCAUGGGGCAUGCCUGUUCGAGCGUCAUUUGUACCUUCAAGCUUUGCUUGGUGUUGGGUGUUUGUCCCGAGGGACUCGCCUUAAAGUAAUUGGCAGCCAGUGUUUGGUUUUGAAGCGCAGCACAAGUCGCGAUUCAAGGCUACACGCCCGCUUCCACAAGCCUUUUUUCACUUUUGACCUCGGAUCAGGUAGGGAUACCCGCUGAACUUAAGCAUAUCAAUAAGCCGGAGGAAGGA